rnacentral:lncRNA from 1 species
CCUUCGGGGAACCCGACCGAGGCCCAGCCCGGCCUGCCCCGCGCGCCGCUCACCGAGCCGAACCCCCGCAACUUCGCGCCCUCUGGAGCCCCGAGUCGCGGGCACGCCCCGGCCGCACUCACCGCGCUUGGACUCGGUGUGGCGCCCCGGCUCCGCUCCCUCCCGCACCGCCGCGGCCAGCGGAAACGGGGGGCGGGGCCGGCAGGCGGAGGGGGCGGGACCUUCACCGGGCUGCGGGGCGGGGUCUGAAUGCUCGAGGGCGGGGCUGGGAAGGGGCCGGGUGGGAGAGGCGGAGAGGACUAGGGAAGGCCGGCGGUUUGCGCCGCGGGAGGACUCGGCUGCCAGAGGCAAGGCAGAGCCCGGCUGAGCGAGGCAAAGGGCCGCACGGGAGCCCCCCUCCACUCCACUCCACUCCGGCCAUUUACCCCGCAGCCACGCAGAUGUGUGUGAUCCUGCCUGCCUCUUUUGGGUGGAGGCAGCUCUAGGCCACAGGUUCCUCAGAAAGGAAAGGGGUCCCACCAACAGCACUCCAGCUCACAUAGAUGAGAGGGAUCUAAGGUAAUGAAGAUGGAUUCCGGAACCCAGGCUGUCCAUCCCACUUUGGCACACCCAGAGAUGGGGGUGCUGAGAUCUGGCAGGAUUCAUGACUGCAGGAAAAGGCUGCUGGAAAAGCUGGAGAGAAGAAGGGAUUAUUCAGCAAAAGGAACCAAGGUGACUUAUGAUCUAUGUGAUGAACACACCGAUCAGGAGGAAAACUCAAAUAAACCUAAUGAUGUGGCCAGAGGCUUUUGGAGAAAGAACUCCAGAAAGCAUGAGGUAGCAGGCUUCUGAAGAAUCCCAUUGCACUCAAGAAAAACACUAAAAGGAUAACUGUAUUAUUGAGCAAGCUACAGAUGAAGUUCCUCCAAGUUUGGAGGACAUCUCCCAUUUACUCCUCUUGUCCUGGCAUGGUUAUUAAUCACCCCACUUUUGCUCUCAGGAUGCCCUAAUUUGCACAAUAAAUUAUAUGCCACUUUAACUAUGACCACAGGCAAUACUCAAAACAGCUCCUUCCUUCCAGUCCCAAAUGCCAGCAUUGUUUCUGGCCUUUCUGUGAAACUCCCAGGGUUUCACAAGAGAGUAUGGUAGUUUAUCCCCCUUGAAAUUACCAUAUCAAAUCAAAAAUGAUAAUAAGCAAAAA